UAAUGAAAGUUAAGUAAUAAAGAGCGUGAAGAAAAAUGUGAGUUAUUUAUAUAGAAUAUUCUCCUUUUCAUUUAUGAAUUUGUUACAAAAUAUUUAGUGCAAAAGCACGACGGAGGUAUUCAAUAUGAAUAACGGUACAGUUAAAUGGUUUAAUGCAGAAAAAGGUUUUGGUUUCAUCGAAAGAGAAGAUGGUAGCGACGUAUUCGUACACUUCUCAGCAAUCGCUGAAGAUGGAUACAAAUCAUUAGAAGAAGGCCAAAAAGUUGAAUUCGACAUCGUUGAAGGCGACCGUGGCGAGCAAGCUGCAAACGUAGUUAAAAUGUAAUUUUAACUUAUUC
rnacentral:sRNA from 1 species